rnacentral:misc_RNA from 1 species
UAUAUUGUCAUACAUAUGUAACCAAUAUGCAAAACAUCAUGUUUGUAACCGUAAUCAUAGACACUCUCGUGUCUACAGGCAGUGCACAGGUGGAACAGAAGAAACAGACGACCAGAGGUGUGCACAUUGCCCCAAAGGGCCAGCACAACAGCAUCCGGCCAGAAGUUUCAUUCGAUAAUGAUCCUUCCGCAGGUUCACCUACGGAAA